ACGACGACGAAUGGCGGCAGGCAGGCAGGCAGGCAAACGAAGAAGGCAGGGCGCCGCAACUUUUGAGGUUACGUUACGAAAAACUAUGCGAAACGAAACGUUGUCGUCUGUGGGUCGGCUUGUUUAUGAGGAGCCUCUCCUGGCCAGGCCACCCACCCCAUAACAUGGCCAGAGAGAGCCGUGCCGUGCCGAGCCGAGCAGAGCAGAGCUAGCAAGUGCAGCAGCAGUAGCAUGCGAAAAUCGCAGAAGUUGCCUCCCUCCGAGAGAGCUGCUGGGGCCCCUGGAAGACACACAAACACACACAGGAACAGUCACACGCACACAUUUAAUAUAAAAACAAACAUAAAGAUAAACCGUAAAAGAGACAUGUGAAAAACAAAGGCACGAGAACGAAACAGGAGCAGAACGGCGACCAAUGUAUUCUUAUUGGGAAAAAUUCGUGUACACAAAUGCAAGCGUCCCCAGAGAGGGAGAGAGGAUAUUGAGAGAGCACUCGCUCGCACACACACACUGAAGAGAGCGCACAGUGCAAAUGUAAGAAAAAAGAAGAAGCAGCCAAAUGGCCGCCGCCGCCGCCGCUGCCGCUGCCAAGGAAGAAAAUGAUGGGACAAGGCGAAUAAUGAGGCGACACAUCCAAGAAAACAGACAAAUACACACGCACUGGCACACGAACGCACAAUCGGAAAAAUAUUUCACUAAAAUAUAAAAUAUUCAUUAUAUUCUGUUCCUCUUUAAUGUGUGUUUGCAGUCGGAAAUUGUGACCGCGCAGUCGGUAGCGACCCGGCCAAAAAAUUUAAUUGAUUUUUACCUUUUGGGGAAAAACAAUUUUGUUUCUUGCAGGUUUUUUUUUUGCAAACUAUUUUUAUACUUGUUUAAAUAUAAAAAGCGGUCUGGAUACACACACUCUACACACACAUGGCACGCUGUCGCCGCCGCCGUUGGUUGCCGCAGUCGAAAAGGAAACCCGAUGAUGACAAUGUAAAAAGAGGCAGGAGGAAAAAAUACGGGAAUCGAAUCGAACUCAUUUUCUUUUUUUGGCACUUACACAUGCACUUAAAAACCAUUCACGACACGCUUAAGUUCUGUUAAUGUGUGCUUUUGUAUUUAAUUUAAGUUAUUUAAAUUACAAUUAUUUACACAGGAUGAAGAAGAAGAAUACGGCUAAGAAUUCUUCAACGUCGCGUCCGUCGCAGAACGAUAAUAAAAGCGAAA